GCGGGUUUAGCUCAAUUGGUAGAGCGCCGCGUUGCCAACGCGGAGGUUGCGGGUUCAAUUCCCGUCGCCCGCUCCA
rnacentral:tRNA from 1 species